AACGAACGCUGGCGGCAUGCCUAACACAUGCAAGUCGAACGAGACCUUCGGGUCUAGUGGCGCACGGGUGCGUAACGCGUGGGAACCUGCCCUUAGGUUCGGAAUAACUCCCCGAAAGGGGUGCUAAUACCGGAUAAUGUCUUCGGACCAAAGAUUUAUCGCCUUUGGAUGGGCCCGCGUUGGAUUAGCUAGUUGGUAGGGUAAAAGCCUACCAAGGCGACGAUCCAUAGCUGGUCUGAGAGGAUGAUCAGCCACACUGGGACUGAGACACGGCCCAGACUCCUCCGUGAGGCAGCAGUGGGGAAUAUUGGACAAUGGGCGAAAGCCUGAUCCAGCAAUGCCGCGUGAGUGAUGAAGGCCUUAGGGUUGUAAAGCUCUUUUACCCGGGAUGAUAAUGACAGUACCGGGAGAAUAAGCUCCGGCUAACUCCGUG
rnacentral:rRNA from 1 species